rnacentral:rRNA from 1 species
AUUGAACGCUGGCGGCAUGCCUUACACAUGCAAGUCGAACGGUAACAGGUCUUCGGAUGCUGACGAGUGGCGAACGGGUGAGUAAUACAUCGGAACGUGCCUAGUAGUGGGGGAUAACUACUCGAAAGAGUGGCUAAUACCGCAUGAGAUCUACGGAUGAAAGCAGGGGAUCGCAAGACCUUGUGCUACUAGAGCGGCCGAUGGCAGAUUAGGUAGUUGGUGGGAUAAAAGCUUACCAAGCCGACGAUCUGUAGCUAGUCUGAGAGGACGAUCAGCCACACUGGGACUGAGACACGGCCCAGACUCCUACGGGAGGCAGCAGUGGGGAAUUUUGGACAAUGGGCGCAAGCCUGAUCCAGCAAUGCCGCGUGCAGGAUGAAGGCCUUCGGGUUGUAAACUGCUUUUGUACGGAACGAAAAGCCCCGGGUUAAUACCCUGGGGUCAUGACGGUACCGUAAGAAUAAGCACCGGCUAACUACGUGCCAGCCGCCGCUGUAA